rnacentral:rRNA from 1 species
CAAUAGCGUAUAUUAAAGUUGUUGCGGUUAAAAAGACUCGUAGUUUGAUUUCUGCUGAGGACGACCAGUCCGCCCUCUGGGUGAGUAUCUGGCUUGGCCUUGGCGUCUUCUUGGAGAACGUAGCUGCACUUGAUUGUGUGGUGUGGCAUCCAGGAAUUUUAACUUUGAGGAAAUUAGAGUGUUUCAAGCAGGCACACGCCUUGAAUACAUUAGCAUGGAAUAAUAUGAUAGGACCUUGGUUCUAUUUGUUGGUUUCUAGAGCUGAGGUAAUGGAUUAAUGGGAUAGUUGGGGGCAUUGGUAGUUGGCUGUCAGAGGUGAAAUUCUCAGACCAGCGGAAGACGAACCACUGCGAAAGCAUUUGCCAGGGAGUGUUUUCACUGAUCAAGAACGAAAGUUAGGGGAUCGAAGAGU